rnacentral:rRNA from 1 species
ACAGGAUGCACCGUAGUUUACUACACCGUAUUCUGUGAGUUGCGAACGGGUGAGUAACGCGUAGGUAACCUGCCUGGUAGCGGGGGAUAACUAUUGGAAACGAUAGCUAAUACCGCAUAAGAACAUUUACUGCAUGGUAGAUGUUUAAAAGGUGCAAAAGCAUCACUACCAGAUGGACCUGCGUUGUAUUAGCUAGUUGGUGAGGUAACGGCUCACCAAGGCAACGAUACAUAGCCGACCUGAGAGGGUGAUCGGCCACACUGGGACUGAGACACGGCCCAGACUCCUACGGGAGGCAGCAGUAGGGAAUCUUCGGCAAUGGGGGGAACCCUGACCGAGCAACGCCGCGUGAGUGAAGAAGGUUUUCGGAUCGUAAAGCUCUGUUGUUAAGGAAGAACGUGUGUGAGAGUGGAAAGUUCACACAGUGACGGUACUUAACCAGAAAGGGACGGCUAACUACGUGCCAGCAGCCGCGGUAAUACGUAGGUCCCGAGCGUUGUCCGGAUUUAUUGGGCGUAAAGCGAGCGCAGGCGGUUAGAUAAGUCUGAAGUGAAAGGCAGUGGCUCAACCAUUGUAGGCUUUGGAAACUGUUUAACUUGAGUGCAGAAGGGGAGAGUGGAAUUCCAUGUGUAGCGGUGAAAUGCGUAGAUAUAUGGAGGAACACCGGUGGCGAAAGCGGCUCUCUGGUCUGUAACUGACGCUGAGGCUCGAAAGCGUGGGGAGCGAACAGGAUUAGAUACCCUGGUAGUCCACGCCGUAAACGAUGAGUGCUAGGUGUUAGGUCCUUUCCGGGACUUAGUGCC